rnacentral:rRNA from 1 species
AAACUCAAAGGAAUUGACGGGACCCGCACAAGCAGCGGAGCGUGUGGUUUAAUUCGUUGCUACACGAAGAACCUUACCUGGGUUUGACAUAUAGGUUGUAGGGAACUGAAAGGGACCGACCCUUCGGGGAGCCUAUACAGGUGUUGCAUGGCUGUCGUCAGCUCGUGUCGUGAGAUGUUCGGUUAAGUCCGCUAACGAGCGCAACCCUCGUCGUAUGUUAUAUGUGUCAUACGAGACUGCCGGUAAAAGCCGGAGGAAGGUGAGGAUGAUGUCAAGUCAGCAUGACCUCUAUAUCCAGGGCUACACACACGCUACAAUGGUCUGUACAAUGGGUAGCCAAGCCGCGAGGCGGAGCCAAUCCUGAAAGCAGGCCUCAGUUCAGAUUGCAGUCUGCAACUCGACUGCAUGAAGCCGGAGUUGCUAGUAACCGCAGGUCAGCAAUACUGCGGUGAAUACGUUCCCGGGUCUU